AUCAGAGAAGGGAAGAAACACACAUCUUGAGAAUAUUUCCUCUCAUGACAAAGAUGUGACCAUAUAAGCACAUGGUUUGAAACAGGAACAGCACAUCUGAACAAGCAGUGAACACCCUGCACCUUCACCCACGAUUAGAGUUCAGGAGCGGCUGUUCUUUCGAGUCUGUGAAGCAAGGUUGCAAGAACCUUUACCUGGACAUACCUAAAUGUGGAAAAUGAAGAUUCAAGCUCCUGAUCCGUUAAAAUUGCUGUUGUGGAACGACGAAGUGCAGGUGACCUACACGGAGCAGAACAGAGGAGACAAGGGGAGAGAUGAGUGAUGCAAAUGUGAAGAGUUUAGAAGAACAGAGACCUGUGGACAGGACUGAAAAUGACUGGGGAGGAGUAGGGAGCUGAAGAAGAGAGCAAGGAGAAUUAGAAAAUAAAGAUCUUUCAGGCAAGGAUUGUCCCUCAGUUUUACUUGUUCAAUGUCCAGCUUCACGAGGGAGGUGUGAAUGUGCAUCCACUGAGACACAGCUGUGCAGCUAAUGAUUGGUGUUGGGCUAGUAGCUGAAACUAUAAAGCUGAGCACCCCGCACAGCCCCCGGCUUGCUGUUGACGUCACCUGUGCUCAGAUCACACCUGGGACGCUCUUACCGACCCCUUUCAAGAUUUCUGGGGAGAGAUGAAAACACAUUUGUCCCUUGAGUGAAACAGGAAGUUCAGCAAGUCAAAACAUUGCCUCUACGGAUCUGGUUGGGGUUAUCCAUUUGACAGAAGUGCAUGUUUUUACCUGUAUCAACGUUAAGGCAGGCAGGAGGUCUGAUGCAUCCAACCACAGUGUUGUGAUAAAGGAAGGAAAGCGGAACUUGCCAGCAGCAUACCUCAGCCAGGAGAUGAAACAGUGAACUCCCGCCGCAUACAGGAGCAGGUAUGCUAGCUAGGGCUGUGCAACAUUUAACGCUUUCAGGGUAGAAGCAGGAAGAUAUGUUUUCAAUGGCAAGGAAAUAAUGGCAGGACUAAAGAACAAAAUGGCUGACCAUGUUGGGAGCUGUCUACAAGUUUGCUGAAGGUAAUUUUGCCUAUCAAAACUCUCACGGCUGGUUUUCAUUUCUUUCCCCUACCUAUUCUGCUGUUGACGCUUACUGACAGACUGGAGCAAAGUAUGGUACUAUGAAAUGUAAUUUAUUUUAAAACAGAAUAUUUAUCCAUGUAUGCAUAAAAAUGAACAAAGAAACCAAAUAUAAGCCUUGCAGUCCAUAGGGAUGUAACUUUGGGCUAGGACUGAGUAUUUUGGCAUAAACACUAAAAAUCUUUAAAAAAGUAAUAUCCUGUGGCUUUUGCACUUCCAUUAUAUUAAACUGAUUUUCUUUACUCACAGUGGGAUUUCAAAUUAAUUUGUAAUUAUACACACCGUGAGGGGAUGAGAAAGAAAUGACCUAAUUAUAGACCAAAAGGAUGCCCUACAGCUAUCAUCCAAUUACUCCAGCCAUCUGAGCUCUUAAGCAAAAUGAUGGGCUUAAUCCUCUCUUGGUCAUAUCUAGUUGUAAUUUGCCAUUGAAUACCAUAAUUUCACUUUAAAUAUUCAUUCACAUAAUAUAAAAAUCUUUGAAUGGAAACAUAUAAUGAGAAUGGGUCAUAAUCACAGUCCUUCUAGACUUUGGUCUCCCAUAUGCACUCUGUGACCAUGUGGUGAGGAAGGAAAUCAUUGCUUCUCUCCUAUGUCCCCUAAAUGGUACUAAUUAGCUAUAAUUAGGCAGAUAUAAAGCCUUAGAAAUAAUGGAAAACUCUAAAAUGCCCACUAACUCUUGGGCAUGUCAACUUUACCUUUCAGCAAGAGAUGAAGAGUUCAUAAAGAGGCACUUGGUAACCUCAGUUAACAUGUGAGUUAAGAAGCAGCUUUCUAAUGGAACAAAUCUUCACCUCUGCUCUUUGUGCAAUAUUCUGGAAUAAAAUUUUAGAAUAGAAUAGAAAAAAUAAUUAUAAUAAAGAAAGGAGCAUGAUACACAAGACGUCAGAUCUCUAUAAAUAUCUGUUGUUUUUUUUUCAGUUCAUUGACAAUUGUAUAAAAUAUUUACACACUAACCCAAAAUAUCUUUUAUUCUCAGGUUUCUUUCAAUAUCUGUGUAAGUUGUAACACUCUAGACAUGAAAAUAUCAUAGAAUAAAACCAAGUAACCUCUUGGACAGUUGAUUUUUUGAGCUAUUGUACAUACACUAUCCUUUUUCUUCAUUAUUUGUAUGAGAAGGAUCAGCUUCAGUUGGUGAGAUACAGAGAAAUUUACUCUUGAAAACAGCAUAGUAUGAGGAUGAAAGAAGUGGGGGUAGCUUCAAGGUUCAUCUUAGUGAAAUACAUUGGGAUUUGGACUGUUGAGUGUGUGACUCUGGAGAUAUACCAAAUGAAAAGAGGCAACCACCUUUUCUGUCCUGAAAAAGUAUGUUAAAGUUAAAAGUAUGUUAAAAACACCAAAAUGUGUCACUUGAUAGCUUCAGUUUUUAAAUUUUGUUUUACUUCAGGCACUUCUUAGUGAGAAAUGCUUUACAUGAUUUUUUUGACCAGCUUUAUAUGUGCACAAGCUGUUUCUGUAGGUUUUGAACAUGCAGUCACCCUUUACAGAUAACUGACUUGCUAACCAGUUGAAAAGCGGAAUGCCAAUUUUGUUUGCCCUUUUAAUAUUUUGUUUCCUUCUCUUCAGAUGACUCUGUAGGUAGAGUUUUUUUUUUUUUUUUUUUUUUUUUAAAUUGGGAAAUGCUUUUAAUAAUCAUAAAAGCUGCUUAAUAAUUCUUCCUCUGAAUAUUGCUUGUUUGUUUGUAGAUACACAUUGUUUGUAGGUAGAUGUACAUUGUACUUAUCACUGUUGUAUUUCAUAGACUAGAAACACAUAUUUUUGGUAUCUCAGUAGACAGAGGACACAGAGUAAUGUUAAGGGAUUUAUUUGCUUUGCAUGUAUUGUGUUGGUAAUUUAUUUUGCUCAGCACCAAGGAUUUAAUAACUGUCAGGUUAAAACUGAUCCAUAGGCUAGUAGACCCUAUGUAUACUUAAUGUGUUAGUGGUUGUUUUUAGUCACUGCUUUAUCCUUUGUUUUCUGACUGCUCUUGAUGCAAUUGUCUGGUUAAAGGUUUGGAAGUUUGGGUUAUUUCUCUGGUGGAAAGAUUAAUGGUGGAGUCAAUCUGCUUCAUUGAAGCAAAAGUAUUUAUAAGAAAGUUCAAAGAUCUGUUUCUCUGAACAGAGGUGAAAUCAAGCAGCCCGAGCCAGUUUCUCACCUCCUAGAACACAGGUACUUUCCAGACGGCACCUUUACUGUCUCUCCAUAGAUGCAGAGAGAAGCAUCCAGCCAACAUGACUGUCCUCUCCCCAGAGAAGACAAGGAUAUUCAGGCAACAAGCGAAAAGCAAACAUGACUCUCCUGGAAUGUCUUCAGCCAGAGGGCAAAGCUUUUUAGGGAAUAUAUGGAGAGAGAGAGAAAUAGCUUUGCCACAGGAAGGUCUACAGCUAGGAAAAAAAAAAAAAAAGGUUUAGCCAUGCAAAUUCUUCUUCAGCAACAUAUUCAUCCUAUAAACCCUAUAGGCCAUUGUGGCUUCAGCCACAUCCAUUUUACACAUACUCUCAUGGCCAAAACAAUACUUAGUGAAAAGAAUUAAAAUUGAUGCUGGCUCUGGCUUUGUUUUGGCUGAAAAUACAUCUGUGUUUUGAAAUUUUUAGACUGAAGUUACUGAACUGUAUAUGUAGUUAAAAAUAUGACAGAGGGUUACCUUUAGCAUACAAUGGUGGUUACUUGUAAGAAUUUAAACUUGAACCCAAGCUACAAGAGUUCAUCACUUUUUGUUCAGAGCUGAAACUUCUGGUUUUCAUUAGAUGAAUUUCUCACUCUCACUGCAAUAGCUAUUGCACCAUAAUUUGCUGAAUUUAACUCCGCUCUUUUGUUUUAGUAAUAUAUCACUCUUAUGACUAUGAAUUUCUAUGUUUGGUCUUGAAUAAAAUUAUUUUCCUGAGUAGAAGGUUUCACUAAAGCAUGCCAGAAACACACGGUGUUUCUCUGAGUUGAACCCAGUCCUUCAUUCUUCAGAGGCACGCAUUCAGAGGCAUGGUUUCAUGGGGCCCUUCCUUACACAGCUCCCUCCUGCAAAUGUUCUAUUAGUUUUUCUUUAAAUUCACUAAAACUUCUUUUUCUCUGUAGUCCCAGUGUUGUCACUCAUGUGAGCAGCCCAGCUGACUUCAAAGCACAUUCUGCAAAAGUUAUUUGAAUGGUGAAGUGAUGUAACUUACUCUUGUGAAGAGUGAUGCUGUUUUUGUCCCUUUCUGUGAAUUCUGAAAUGUAUAUGCUUUAACACUGAGGAACUAUUUCAUCUGAUACAUGCUAAGAUUGUCAUCUGUAAUAUUUCAGAAACAGUAUCUGUUUACUUUGGUGUUUUUUCCUUCUACUGCCUCAGGAAAGGUAUGCAUAUAUGUGUACAGCUCUGCCAACAGACUAUAUUUUUUCUUUCUGAACAGCUAUGUGACGAAUUUGUUUAAAUUUUCCAGCAUUUUUACCUCAUACCUUAAAAACGAUUCUCUUUAGUCCUUAUUCUGUUCUUCAGUGACCUUUUGUUUUUAUGCCUGCUUGAAAGGUUUUGCUCUAAUUUCAUACUCUUUUGUAAAAUCUUUCUCUAUUUUGCUCUCCUUAUCUGUUUUUUAACUUUCUGUUUUAUUUGUUUUUUGUUUGCUUGAAUCCUCUAGGAUUCCUUUUUGAUUUUCUUGUAUUUCCUUUUGCAUCACUGUUAAUCAUUUACUAUUCUUGAACACUUAGAAUUAGGUGCGAUGAAGUCCUGAAUGUACUUGACGCAUGCUCAACAUGUAUUUUUACAUCACUUUAUUUUGUCUCUUUACUAUAGUACAUAUUGCUAUGCUACAGCUUAGCUCCAGUUGCAAACUCUUAGCUGUACCCAGAUCAAAACCAAACUCUGCUUUUAUUUUUGCUAUCUUUUCAAUCCUAAGUAUAGACUGUAUGAUGAUAAAUAAAAACUUGUUAAAUGCUU